GGUCAAGCGAACAAGUGCAUGUGGUGGAUGCCUUGGCGAUCACAGGCGAUGAAGGACGCGGUAGCCUGCGAAAAGCUACGGGGAGCUGGCAAACGAGCUUUGAUCCGUAGAUGUCCGAAUGGGGAAACCCGGCCCUUUUGGGUCAUCCUGGACUGAAUACAUAGGUCUAGUGAAGCGAACGCGGUGAACUGAAACAUCUAAGUAACCGCAGGAAAAGAAAUCAACCGAGAUUCCCAAAGUAGUGGCGAGCGAAAUGGGAUGAGCCUUGCACUCUUUAUUUGUAUUGUUAGCCGAACGCUCUGGAAAGUGCGGCCAUAGCAGGUGAUAGCCCUGUAGGCGAAAACAGUAUGAAAGAACUAGGUGUGCGACAAGUAGGGCGGGACACGUGAAAUCCUGUCUGAAGAUGGGGGGACCAUCCUCCAAGGCUAAAUACUCGUGAUCGACCGAUAGUGAACCAGUACCGUGAGGGAAAGGCGAAAAGAACCCCGGGAGGGGAGUGAAAUAGAUCCUGAAACCGCAUGCAUACAAACAGUCGGAGCCUCGCAAGGGGUGACGGCGUACCUUUUGUAUAAUGGGUCAGCGACUUACGUUCAGUAGCAAGCUUAACCGUAUAGGGCAGGCGUAGCGAAAGCGAGUCCGAAUAGGGCGUUCAGUUGCUGGGCGUAGACCCGAAACCAGGUGAUCUAUCCAUGGCCAGGAUGAAGGUGCGGUAACACGUACUGGAGGUCCGAACCCACUAACGUUGAAAAGUUAGGGGAUGAGCUGUGGAUAGGGGUGAAAGGCUAAACAAACCUGGAAAUAGCUGGUUCUCUCCGAAAACUAUUUAGGUAGUGCCUCGUGUCUCACCUUCGGGGGUAGAGCACUGUCAUGGUUGGGGGGUCUAUUGCAGAUUACCCCGCCAUAGCAAACUCCGAAUACCGAAGAGUGCAAUCACGGGAGACAGACAUCGGGUGCUAACGUCCGGUGUCAAGAGGGAAACAACCCAGACCGCCAGCUAAGGUCCCCAAAUAUAGCUAAGUGGGAAACGAAGUGGGAAGGCUAAAACAGUCAGGAGGUUGGCUUAGAAGCAGCCACCCUUUAAAGAAAGCGUAAUAGCUCACUGAUCGAGUCGUCCUGCGCGGAAGAUGUAACGGGGCUAAGCUAUAUACCGAAGCUGCGGAUGCGUGCUUGCACGCAUGGUAGGAGAGCGUUCCGUAAGCCUGCGAAGGUGCCUUGUAAAGGGUGCUGGAGGUAUCGGAAGUGCGAAUGCUGACAUGAGUAGCGAUAAAGGGGGUGAAAGGCCCCCUCGCCGUAAGCCCAAGGUUUCCUACGCAACGUUCAUCGGCGUAGGGUGAGUCGGCCCCUAAGGCGAGGCAGAAAUGCGUAGCUGAUGGGAAGCAGGUCAAUAUUCCUGCACCAUUGUUAGAUGCGAUGGGGGGACGGAUCGCGGAAGGUUGUCCGGGUGUUGGACGUCCCGGUCGCUGCAUUGGAGAAGGCGCUUAGGCAAAUCCGGGCGCGUAAUUCAAGGGUGUGGCGCGAGCUCCUUAGGGAGCGAAGCAAUUGGAAGUGGUUCCAAGAAAAGCCUCUAAGCUUCAGUCUAACGAUGACCGUACCGCAAACCGACACAGGUGGGCGAGAUGAGUAUUCUAAGGCGCUUGAGAGAACUCGGGAGAAGGAACUCGGCAAAUUGGUACCGUAACUUCGGGAUAAGGUACGCCCUUGUAGCUUGACCAGCCUGCGCUGGAAGGGUGAAGGGGUUGCAAUAAACUGGUGGCUGCGACUGUUUAAUAAAAACACAGCACUCUGCAAACACGAAAGUGGACGUAUAGGGUGUGACGCCUGCCCGGUGCCGGAAGAUUAAAUGAUGGGGUGCAAGCUCUUGAUUGAAGUCCCGGUAAACGGCGGCCGUAACUAUAACGGUCCUAAGGUAGCGAAAUUCCUUGUCGGGUAAGUUCCGACCUGCACGAAUGGCGUAACGAUGGCCACACUGUCUCCUCCCGAGACUCAGCGAAGUUGAAGUGUUUGUGAUGAUGCAAUCUACCCGCGGCUAGACGGAAAGACCCCAUGAACCUUUACUGUAGCUUUGCAUUGGACUUUGAACCGAUCUGUGUAGGAUAGGUGGGAGGCUAUGAAACCGGAACGCUAGUUUCGGUGGAGCCGUCCUUGAAAUACCACCCUGGUUUGUUUGAGGUUCUAACCUUGGCCCGUGAUCCGGGUCGGGGACAGUGCAUGGUAGGCAGUUUGACUGGGGCGGUCUCCUCCCAAAGCGUAACGGAGGAGUACGAAGGUACGCUAGGUACGGUCGGAAAUCGUGCUGAUAGUGCAAUGGCAUAAGCGUGCUUAACUGCGAGACCGACAAGUCGAGCAGGUGCGAAAGCAGGUCAUAGUGAUCCGGUGGUUCUGUAUGGAAGGGCCAUCGCUCAACGGAUAAAAGGUACUCUGGGGAUAACAGGCUGAUACCGCCCAAGAGUUCAUAUCGACGGCGGUGUUUGGCACCUCGAUGUCGGCUCAUCUCAUCCUGGGGCUGUAGCCGGUCCCAAGGGUAUGGCUGUUCGCCAUUUAAAGAGGUACGUGAGCUGGGUUUAAAACGUCGUGAGACAGUUUGGUCCCUAUCUGCCGUGGGCGUUGGAUAUUUGAAGGGGGCUGCUCCUAGUACGAGAGGACCGGAGUGGACGAACCUCUGGUGUACCGGUUGUCACGCCAGUGGCAUCGCCGGGUAGCUAUGUUCGGAAGAGAUAACCGCUGAAAGCAUCUAAGCGGGAAACUCGCCUUAAGAUGAGAUAUCCCUGGGGACUAGAUCCCCUUGAAGGGUCGUUCGAGACCAGGACGUUGAUAGGUCAGGUGUGUAAGCGCAGUAAUGCGUUCAGCUAACUGAUACUAAUUGCCCGUAAGGCUUGAUCCU
rnacentral:rRNA from 1 species